UCGUGGCAUUUAUAAGGAUGCAUCGAAAACACCAUUUCAUACAGUCCCAAGCAGUCUAACGAGGACGUCAGCUUAUCAACUAUACGAGAAGAGCUAGUGUGGUACCACCUGCAAAAUAACAAAAAUGCUAGCUACAAAAUCGAUGUUGACCAUACUUGUGGUGUUGGCACUAAUUUGCAGUGCAAUGGCUUGUGAUGGAUUUGAUCGUCCAUGCACUGGACCUAAUGGUCGUCAAGGCAGUUGUUGUAAGGGAAUGCAUUGUCAGAAGAACAACCCCUCUUGGGCAAAAGGACGCUGUUACUAUAACCCUGGGAAGUAACUGCUAAAUAUGCACUACUAACACAUACUAAAAUGAUUAUUAAAUCAUUGUAGAAAAUAAAAACUAACUGCAGAAGAAA